rnacentral:rRNA from 1 species
GAUGAACGCUAGCGGGAGGCCUAACACAUGCAAGCCGAGCGGCAUUUGUUCUUCGGAACAGAGAGAGCGGCGCACGGGUGCGGAACACGUGUGCAACCUGCCUUUAUCUGGGGGAUAGCCUUUCGAAAGGAAGAUUAAUACCCCAUAAUAUAUUGAGUGGCAUCAUUUGAUAUUGAAAACUCCGGUGGAUAGAGAUGGGCACGCGCAAGAUUAGAUAGUUGGUGAGGUAACGGCUCACCAAGUCAAUGAUCUUUAGGGGGCCUGAGAGGGUGAUCCCCCACACUGGUACUGAGACACGGACCAGACUCCUACGGGAGGCAGCAGUGAGGAAUAUUGGACAAUGGGUUAGCGCCUGAUCCAGCCAUCCCGCGUGAAGGACGACGGCCCUAUGGGUUGUAAACUUCUUUUGUAUAGGGAUAAACCUACUCUCGUGAGAGUAGCUGAAGGUACUAUACGAAUAAGCACCGGCUAACUACGUG